CCCAGAUUGAGCGGCCUGUUUGAGCUCUUCUCUCGGAUAGGAUUUGCUUCGGCAAGAGACAGCGAGUAGCGAAAGCUGGAAAUGGC
rnacentral:misc_RNA from 1 species